GGCAGUGUAGCAGAGUGGUAAGGCACAGGGCUCAUAACUGAGGUUGCUGGUUCGAUUCCCUGCUGAGGCACUGCUG